GCCCGGCUAGCUCAGUUGGUACAGCAUGAGACUCUCGAUCUCAGGGUCGAGGGAUCGGGCCCCUCGUUGGGCG